GCCAGACUCCUACGGGAGGCAGCAGUGAGGAAUAUUGGUCAAUGGGCGGGAGCCUGAACCAGCCAAGCCGCGUGAAGGAAGAAGGCGCCAGGCGUCGUAAACUUCUUUUGUCGGGGAACAAAGGGCGUCACGCGUGGCGUUGUGAGUGUACCCGAAGAAAAAGCAUCGGCUAACUCCGUGCCAGCAGCCGCGGUAAUACGGAGGAUGCGAGCGUUAUCCGGAUUUAUUGGGUUUAAAGGGUGCGUAGGCGGGGCAGAAAGUCCAGCGUAAAAGGCCGGGGGCCAACCCCGGGCGAGCCGUUGAAACUGUCGGACUAGAGACGGCGAGAAGUGCGCGGAAUGCGCGGUGUAGCGGUGAAAUGCAUAGAUAUCGCGCAGAACUCCGAUUGCGAAGGCAGCGUACCGGCGCCGGACUGACGCUGAGGCACGAAAGCGUGGGUAUCGAACAGGAUUAGAUACCCCUGUAC
rnacentral:rRNA from 1 species